CUGGCUCAGAACGAACGCUGGCGGCAGGCUUAACACAUGCAAGUCGAGCGCCCCGCAAGGGGAGCGGCAGACGGGUGAGUAACGCGUGGGAAUCUACCCUUGACUACGGAAUAACGCAGGGAAACUUGUGCUAAUACCGUAUGUGUCCUUCGGGAGAAAGAUUUAUCGGUCAAGGAUGAGCCCGCGUUGGAUUAGCUAGUUGGUGGGGUAAAGGCCUACCAAGGCGACGAUCCAUAGCUGGUCUGAGAGGAUGAUCAGCCACAUUGGGACUGAGACACGGCCCAAACUCCUACGGGAGGCAGCAGUGGGGAAUAUUGGACAAUGGGCGCAAGCCUGAA
rnacentral:rRNA from 1 species